rnacentral:rRNA from 1 species
AAUUCAGACAUUCUUGGUCAUUUAGAGGAAGUAAAAGUCGUAACAAGGUUUCCGUAGGUGAACCUGCGGAAGGAUCAUUACCUAGAGUCAGUGGGCUUUGCCUGCUAUCUCUUACCCAUGUUUUUUGAGCACUUACGUUUCCUCGGUGGGUUCGCCCGCCGAUUGGACCACUUAAACCCUUUGUAGUUUUGUAAUCAGCGUCUGAAAAACUUAAUAGUUACAACUUUCAACAACGGAUCUCUUGGUUCUGGCAUCGAUGAAGAACGCAGCGAAAUGCGAUAAGUAGUGUGAAUUGCAGAAUUCAGUGAAUCAUCGAAUCUUUGAACGCACAUUGCGCCCCUUGGUAUUCCAUGGGGCAUGCCUGUUCGAGCGUCAUUUGUACCUUCAAGCUCUGCUUGGUGUUGGGUGUUUGUCUCGCCUUUGCGUGUAGACUCGCCUUAAAACAAUUGGCAGCCGGCGUAUUGAUUUCGGAGCGCAGUACAUCUCGCGCUUUGCACUCAUAACGACGACGUCCAAAAGUACUUUUUACACUCUUGACCUCGGAUCAGGUAGGGAUACCCGCUGAACUUAAGCAUAUCAAUAAGCGGAGGAAAUGUCUCC